GGGUAUAAAGAGUCAUGACUCUCACGUUAUGAUGCAGCAUCUUAUACCCCUUGUGAUGCAUGGCUUCUCCACCCUAGAGGUACAGAAUGUACUUAUUGAAUUGGAUACUUUUUUUUUGAAAAUUAUGUUGUCAGAAACUCCAAAUUUAUAUACUUAAAAAGCUUCAAUUAGACAUUACCCUAAUUUUAUAUAAGCUUGAAAAAAAAAAAUUUCAAUCUUAUUUUUUGAUAUUAUAGUACACUUGGUGGUUCACCUUCUAG
rnacentral:lncRNA from 1 species